GCUCACAGACUAGCACGAUUUUCUAGAGUGCAAUCGCUCACAGAUCAACACAUUCUAGAGUGCAAUCUCUCACAGGUCAGCACGAUAUACAAGAGUGCAGUCGCUCACAGACUAGCACGACUUUCUAGAGUGCAAUCGCUCACAGAUCAGCACAUUCUAGAGUGCAAUCUCUCACAGAUCAGCACAACAUACAAGAGUGUAGUCGCUCACAGACCAGCACAAUUUUCUAUAGUGCAAUCGCUCACAGAUCAACACAUUCUAGAGUGCAAUCUCUCACAGAUCAGCAUGACGCGACAAUCCCCGCAAGGAUAAGAUGAACCAACAAUUCACAUGGCAUCAUCUCGUGGCCCAUCACAGUCACCACUAUCACCAUUGCCCCAUCGCGGUCACCAUGUCUAUGAAAUGCAUAAGCAUACUCUAACUCUUUUCACCACAAUCAUUAAGUAAAUGCAGCUAUUAAAAGAUUCUCCAUUUUUAAUACUCAUUUACACUAAUGAUUUUUCAUAUACAACAUAGAGCAUAGUCAAACAUAUUUAUUCACACCAAUUUCAAUUUCCAAAACACACAUAAAUCACAUUUCCAAAUUCAAUCCACACAAAUUGAAUUAAAUUCAUUUUCCACCAAUUCACACAUAAAUUUAAUUAAAUUCUCUUUCCACCAAUCCACACAUAAAUUUUUUCUCAAAAAUUCAUAAUAUUAAUUAUGAACACAUCAAUUUAACUAAACAUGAGUCACUAUAAUUUUUAAACAUUAAUCACCCAUAUUCAAUCUCCACAAUUUUCAACCAUAAAUCACCACAACAACAUUAAUAUAUCAG
rnacentral:lncRNA from 1 species